GGUCUGUGGGCAGAGACACAAAGGAGAGAGAUGAGGAGAUUUGUUGGACUAAGUCAAAGAUGAAUUUGUAGAAGAUUGUCUCCAAAAAUGGCUGUCAAUUCCUUCCCUCCCUGUAUGCAUAUACUGCUCCUCACAGAAAAGGAGCAGUCUACUUCCCUCCCUCUCGAGUUUGGGCUGGCCAAUAGAAUGCAGUUGUGCCAAAAGAGGUCUGGCAGCUCUCUGAGGGGAAGGCAGUUACCAUGUAAAAAAUCUGACUCUGCAGAGACCGCCAUGCUCUAAGAAAGCCCAAGCUAGCCAUGUAGAGACUCCAGGAGAGGAAAAAAAUAGGAAAUUCAGUCAAAAGUGAGCACCAAGACCCUAGACGUGGCUCCAGCUGAACCAUUCCAGCCAGCUUCUAGCUGUUGGAGGCAUCUGUCUGAGGCCUCAGAUAUCCUGGAGCAGAGAAGAGCCAUCCUGCCGUGCCCUGGCCGAAUUCCUGACCCAAGGAAUGGUGAAGAAAUAAAAUGUUUAUUGUCUUAAGCCACUAAAUUUCAGGGUAGUUUGCUAUGCAGCAAUCGAUAACUGAAACAAACUGGGGAGGGGAGAGACCUACCAUAUUUACUCCAAAGGCUACUCCUGGCCUGUACUGGGUGCUGUUUCCCCAACUGCCACAGCCUGUCUUGGAGAAGAGAAGAGCAGAGGAGUGUAGGAGAAAGUAGGAAGGGAAAAGUCAGAAGUGAAGGAGUUAAGGAGAGGGUUGUUGCGUUUGAGCUGUGCUUUUCCUAAAGAGGUACAAAGGAAAAAGAAAAUACAUCAGAGAGGGAGCGCUACCCAACCAGCAAUUUAGAAUUUCUUGCUCGUUCACCAAGGCAAAAAAAGGUGAGACAGACAGAAAACAGGAAUAGGAAACAUGACAAAAUAAACGUAAGAGAAGAAGAAAGCCUAGGAGCUAACUUGAGAGCGAAGGAGAGCUUUUCACUCUGGCUUUUGGUUCUCACCAAUUCUCUUGCUAUUAGCCAACUCUGUGGGGGCAAAUAUUCAAUCUCUCUAACUGCCAGAAUGGGAAGGGCCAGAGGAAACAAUGCUACGAUCCCUUCUGGUUCCAACCCUCUUGAUGCUCUGUGGCCAUCUCUGAAUAGAGGGUACACACGGCCACCUUAGGGAUUGUUCUAGGACACUUGCAAAUCGGAAGAGGGCCUUUCCCUUGCUUGAAGGUCUUCAGUGGCUCCCACAACUUUGAGGAUAAAGGCCAACUCCUCAUCCUGGUGCUGAGGGCUGAUGUUGAGGGCAUUUCAUGGAUUUUGGUGAUUCAAUGGGACUAAAGAAGAAAUGCCAGUACCAUGUAUCUGUGUCACAUUUUCCAGUUCCCCACGUUUUAAUCAUCAACACCAAAUUCCCACAAUAUGUCUGUGAGGUAGUUAUUAUCAUCCACUCACUACAGAUGAGGAAGCUAAGAUCAUAAGACUAUAAAGAGACUUCCCCUUUGUCAGAGAAAGAUUAGUAAUAAGGGCCAAUGGUAGACUGACUGAAAAAAUGCCCUAAUUCUCCCCAGUCCCUGAAUCAUGUGCUUUCCUAUGUGACUCUGCAGCUCCUCCAUUCAAGAGGUGGAGUCCAUCUGCACACCCCUUGAACUGAGGCUGGCCACAUGCCUUCCUUUGACCAAAACAGUGUGGUAGAACUGAAAGUACGCCAGUGUCUACCUAAACAUCAAGAGAUUCGCGUGUAUCCAGUCUCUCUUGGGUCUCUCUGCCUCUGCAGUGAGAACAAGCCCAAGAUGGAGGAUAAGAGACCAUGUGGAAGAGUCAAGUAAGUCCAGCUGAUCUUAGCUGGGCCCCAGACACGUGAGAGUGCCCCGCCAAGAUUAGCAAAGUCACCUAGCCAACCUGCAGCUGCUCAUAGGCAUAUAGGUGAGCCCUGGCGGGUCAGGUUGUCACAGAGGAAGGAGAUCUUGUGCUUGGAGCCGGAAGUCAAUGUCAAGUUGGUGCUGCAGGUCCGAGACUCCAGGCACACAAAGCAGCCAGGGACAAACCUGCGGCUCAGUUUGUCAGACCUCGGCUCAAUGGUGAGCGACAUGGCGUGCUCGUUACUUAAGUCAACCAGAGUCAUCAAACUGGGAAGGCGCCUGUGCAAGAAGGUACUGCCUUUGCGGUUCAAGGGUGGAGACGAUGCCGUGUAUCUGGCCCCUUGGCCCCCAGCUCCCUCAAGGAAGUUCAGUUUCACCUGGGAAAGCUCAGUUGCCCAAGAGUGUCUGCUAGACUUCUUCCUUCCUGAUAAUGUAUGAUUAAUGGAGUUUCUCCUUUUGAACUGGCUGCCAGGCAGCUCCGUGUUAAGUCAGAAGCAUAUCAGAUAAAUGUCUUAGAUUUUGUGGUUGUCAUGUCUGUUAGCUCUUUUUUUUGGUUGUUACCAUCUAUUUCCAUAUGAAUUUUAUCAUAAUGUCUAACAGUGCUUUAAACAGAGAGAUGUCAUAUGCCCAGAGCCGGACUACAGAAUCUAAUGCUGCUAACUUAAAUAUGAUUUGAUUUAGAAAAUGGUCAGCUUUUCAAUCUCCUGCCCCAUGUCCAGAACAUUUUUUUUUUAUCAUCCUUUAAAUUCUUCUUCAUUGUUCUCUCUAGGAAACGGUCCCCAUCCUGAUCCCAGGCUGUGUUAGGAGCCCUGUCCUACGCUCCUGCAGCUCAGGCUCGCCUUUACCAAGGCCUAGUCACACACUGCAGCUGAUUCCCCAACCCUAUUCUUCCCUCAUUUGCUGUUAUCAACAUUAUACAUGCAAAUAGUUUUAAGUAGGGGGUCUCAACCUCAGCACUACUGGGAUUUUAGACUGGGGGAGUCAUCUUUUUUUUUAAAUUUUAUUUUGUUGUUGUUGAGAAUAUACGCAGCAAAACAUCAAUUCAACAAUUUCUAUAUGUACAAUUUAGUGACGCUGACUACAUUCUUGGAGUUGUGCAAUCAUUCUCACCCUCCUUUUCUGAGUUGUUCCUCCUUCAUUAACAUAAACUCAAUGCCCCCUAAGGUUCCUGUCUAAUCUUUUGAGUUGCAUCAGUUUGAUCUUAUAUAGAGAGAUCUUAAAAGAGCAUAAUGCUCAAGGCAAGACUUUUUUUUAACUAGUUAAGCUAAACUAUUUUGUUUAAAGAGGAUUUCAGGAGAUAUUUUUGGCUUAAGGUUUAAAGAUUAUCACAGGGCAAUAGUUUUAGGGGUUCAUUCAGCUUCCAUGGCUCCAGAAAGUCUGGAGGAGGUGGGAUGAGUCUUAGUUGUGGGAUGUUAAGCCACCUCCCUGGCCUCUACUCACUAGCUGCCAGUAGCAACAAUUGUGACAACCAAAAAUGUCUUUCAGACAUUGUCAAAUGUACCCGGGGGGACAAAACUCCUUCUGAUUGAGAACCACGGGUUUAAAGAACCAAAUAGUUUUACAAGGUUUAUUAUGAAAACACAAUUCCCUUCCCACCUUUCUACCUCUAUUUCUCAAUCCCCAAAAUAGCCACUUUCAACUAUUCUAGAAGGUUCUUUUUAAGUUACCUCUGUAUCUUUCAAUAACCUGCUUCUAUUGCUGCUUCUUGAUCGUUUAGUAUCAAGCAUUAUCUAUUGGCUUUCUACUAUGGAAGAUGUGGAUUUUCCUCUCCUUCACUCCACACCCACUUCCACACCACACCACACCACACACGCCUACCACACACACGCACACCCCACUCAAGCUCAGCACACACACAUACACCAUUCAAGGCCACCCCCCCACAUACAAUGCAAGCCUACCACACCACACAUGCCUACUACACACACACACACACACACACACACCCCUCCACACCACAUCACACCACACACACCUAGCCCCCCUACAUACACACCAAAGCUCAGCACACACACACACCCUACUCAAGCUCAGCACACACACACCCCACUCAGUAUACACACACACGCCCACAUACAAUGCAAGCCCACCACACAUACAUCCCACUCAAGCCCACCCCCCACAUACACCUCAAGCCCACAACACAUACACACACACCCAUACCACACACACUUACCAUCCCCCAUCUUCCCAACAGUUACCAUCAUAUUUUUAGUUAGAUCAUUAUUCCCUUUCUGUAAUAUCAUGACUGUGUAAACACAAUAUUAACAUAGUAUUUUUAUAGUCACAUUAUGUGGCGUACGAUAUCACUUUUCCCUUCCUGUAUAACAUUUUGUUUUCCCUGGAGUUAAUUACUGUCAUUUUUAUCAUUUCCUUAGUUUCUAUGCAUUUAUCUGUAAUUCAACUCCCAAGCUCUCCCCCACUUGGAUGAAUCUUCUUUCAAUACAUUUGAGAACAUUAGGUAUUUCAUAAACUUUAACUUUCUGAAGAAAUCUCUUCAGUCCUUCUCAACUGCUCUGAUUUAGAAUGGUUGCUCUCCGUUUGGUGUCCAGGUAUGGUCUUCGUUGUUGCUGUUAGCUGCCAUCGAGACAGCUCUGACUCAUGGCAGCCUUAAGCGUGACGGAAAGAAACGCGGUCUGGUCCUGCGCCAUCUUUGUAAUGGUUGGUAUGUUUUAGUCCACUGCUGUGGCCAUGUGUGUCAAUGUGGCCUCUUGGAUUAGGUCUUGGGCUUCCUGGGUUUCAUGUCUUUUUAUUGAUUUUACUUCCUUUUUAAGUGGAUCACAGCCUUUAGGAACUUCUCGGGAAAAUGUGUAUGGAGUCAAUUUUUUGAGAACUUGUGGAUCUGAAAAUGUCUUUAUCCUACCUUCACAUUUAAUUAAUAGUUUGGAUUGGUAUAGAAUUUUAGGUUGGAAAUAACAUUCCUUCAGAAUCUUGAUGGCCUUGCUCCACUGUUUUCUAACGUUCAGUGUUGCUAUUUAUCUAUUGCCAUUUGGUUGUUUAUUUGUCUGUAUAAAGCUUAUUGUCCUCUCUGGAAGCAGGCAGGAUCUUGGUGUCUCUGAUGUUCUGACAUUUCACGAAGACAUGCCUUGGUGUGGGUCUAUUUCUAUCCAUUGUGCUUGGUGGUCCCUUUCAAUUGAUAAUUCAUGGCCACUGGUUCUGGUAAAUGUUUCUGAAAUGUUUUUCAGGGCCUCCUUCCACUCUUUUUCUUCUUCUUCUUUCUGUUCUCUCUUCCUGAAACUCCUUUUAUUUGUAUAUUCAAUCUCCUUGACUAGUUCUCUAAUUUUCUCAUAUUUCCUCCCAUUUCGAUCUAUCAUUUUCUUAACUCCCACUUUUUGCAAAAUGUUCUAAUCAUUACUUUCCAGCCCUUUUGAAUUUUUCAUUUCUGCUUUCAUAUUUUUGGAGCCCUGGUGGCACAGGUUAAGAGCUCAGCUGCUAACCAAAAGGUCAGCAGUUCGAAUCUGCCAGCCAGUCCUUGGAAACUCUAUGGGGCAGUUCUACUCUGUCAUAUAGUGUCGCUAUAAGUUGGAAUCAACU